CAGCAGCCGCGGUAAUACGAAGGGUGCAAGCGUUACUCGGAAUUACUGGGCGUAAAGCGUGCGUAGGUGGUGGUUUAAGUCCGUUGUGAAAGCCCUGGGCUCAACCUGGGAAUUGCAGUGGAUACUGGGUCACUAGAGUGUGGUAGAGGAUAGUGGAAUUUCCGGUGUAGCGGUGAAAUGCGUAGAUAUCGGAAGGAACACCUGUGGCGAAAGCGGCUCACUGGACCAUUUCUGACGCUGAUGCACGAAAGCUAGGGGAGCAAACAGGAUUAGAUACCCCCGUAGUCCCUGUCUCUUAUAC
rnacentral:rRNA from 1 species